rnacentral:rRNA from 1 species
GAUGAACGCUGGCGGCGUGCCUAACACAUGCAAGUCGAGCGGAAGCACGACGAGCGUUCCUCUCUGGUGUUAGCGGCGGACGUGAUGGUAACACGUGGAUAACCUCCUUAUAGGACUGUACUCAAUUGGGGAAACCGUAGCUAAUACCGGCUAAUAUUUUGAACCGCAGGGCUCAAAAGCGCAAGACGGUCUUGCUGUCACUUAUAGAUUGAUCCGCGCUGCAUUAGCUAGUUGGUAAGGUAACGGCUUACCAAGGCAACGAUGCGUAGCCGACCUGAGAGGGUGAUCAGCCACACUGGAACUGAGACACGGUCCAGACUCCUACGGGAGGCAGCAGUGGGGAAUCUUGCGCAAUGGGCGCAAGCCUGACCGAGCAACGCCGCGUGAAUGAUGAAGGUCUUCGGAUCGUAAAAUUCUGUUGUUAGGGACGAAAAUGUGUGGAAGAAAAUCUGCAGAUAAUGACGGUACCGAAAGAGAAAGCCACGGCUAACUACGUG